rnacentral:lncRNA from 1 species
GGAGACUUCGGAGCGACGAGAAGGCAUCAACUUCAAAGAGCUCGGAUCGGCAGAUAUAAUCAAGAUUCAUGGAUUGAUUUCUUCGAUGGUUCUCGGUGAAAUUACGUUUUCUGGAUUUCUUCUUGUAAACCUAAUUGCAAUGUGUUCCUUUGCUGAUUUUGAUUUUGUCUUCAAAGUUAUGAGUAGCUAAACUCUUCAUGCUUAGAUUAGAUGAACCCUAGGUAAUUCCUUAUGAAUAGAUGAUUGUUCGACUUUGACGAUUUAUGCGAGUUGGAUGGAUUUUGAUUUAUGUUUAAUUUUGUUUCCGUUCUUAUUCUUGCUUGGCCGUCGUGAAUAGAACCUUGUUAGAUUUGUCUUCGUCCUGAAAGAGUUUGCAUAUCUAGUACACCAAAAAUAACUAACUCAGUUAGGCAUUAACCCUCAUUCGGGAGCGAAUAAACUAGUCCAUCAUGUGAGCAGUUCUUAUUUGUUUUAUCGCCUAGCGGAUUUCAUAGCUUUAUCUCGAAAGAGUGGACUUGGAUAGUAGAUAGGUAGCUUAUUAUCGGACCCGAAAGGGCGUAAUUUGGUUAGAGAAGAACUGUGAUGAUG